rnacentral:rRNA from 1 species
UACAGAGGGUGCGAGCGUUAAUCGGAAUUACUGGGCGUAAAGCGUGCGCAGGCGGCUUCGCAAGUCAGACGUGAAAUCCCCGGGCUUAACCUGGGAAUGGCGUUUGAAACUACGGAGCUGGAGUAUGGCAGAGGGGGGGUGGAAUUCCACGUGUAGCGGUGAAAUGCGUAGAUAUGUGGAGGAACACCGAUGGCGAAGGCAGCCCCCUGGGCCAAUACUGACGCUCAUGCACGAAAGCGUGGGGAGCAAACAGG